rnacentral:misc_RNA from 1 species
UACGAGUGCGGAGCAACAAAUCUAGUCAGUGUGUUCAACGGAGCUUUCCGCAGCAAGACCCACCCAGGGCAGACUUGCACGGAUAGAUUUCAUACACAUUAUUACGAUUUAAAACCUAAGAAAAAUUGUAAUUUUUACCUUACGUUAAAACAAACAAAAUACAUAAAUACAGACCGCUGAAAGUUAUUUUCCUCGCCAGAAUAAUCGUUGUUGGAUAACUUUUAAUAUCAUUCGUACUUUGUGUUAUUCACCGCUAACGUUGUUAUUGAAUUAUUGUUGGUAGCUGCAAAAAUGUUGAAACAUAUUAUUGUGUUAGCUUUAUAUUUGAUGGCUUAUAUUAUUGGAAAUAUAGAUGCAGAACACGAACAACAUCGUUUAAAUCAAUUCAAUAAAUUUAUCCACUGCUAUGAGAAUAUGUUUGUAAAUGAAAUUAUAAAAGGAAAUAAAGUCAGUCAAGAUGCAAAUUCAUCAGGGGGAGCUGUUGCAUUUCAAGACAUAUUGAGGGCUUUAUAUGUUAAAAAGGAGUACUCAUUUAACCCUGUAAGGGGUAAAUAUCUUCUACCAUUGGACAGUGAUCACUUUAAAAAUAAUCAAAAACUUAAUUAUUUAAAAGAAUUAAUCACCCUUGAAUUCAAACAGAUUUCGGACGAAGAGUUAACAAAAAAAAUGAAUGAAUUGGCUCCGAAAACUCAAUAUAACGAUAGUUCUCUACUGACUCCGUUUAUUUUUUAUUUUGCGGCUAACAGUAAAGAAGAUAUCUUUAAAAGUGCGUCAUCGUAUUGUAAUGCUUACAGUUUCUUUUGAAGCACCUUUGUUAUAAUUUAGUCGGAAGUCUUUGAAAUUAGUCAGAAGACUUGGAAUUUAGAAGAAAGUCUAUUGCAGGUACCUUAUAUAUAAGCAAAUAAACAUACAGCUUCAUAUGAAUAUUGUACUAAUUAAAUUAUAUUCACAUGUUACACUAUUAAAUAAAUUAUAUUGUUGUAUAACUUAACUACACAAUAAUGAUCUAAAUGUACUUAUUAUAAAAAUAAAUAUAAAAUAGAGAAUAUAA